GGAAAUUUUCUAGUCGAACUUCCAUUUUCAACUACCUCUUUAAUUUCCAACUGUUGUGGCGGUAGUCUUCUUCUUCUUCUCCCUCCUCCUCCUUUACAAUCAUCAGUUUCGAAAAUUCUGGUUAGAAGUUUAAGAAAUCUUUGGUCCCUUCUCCAUCAAAAGCCUUUACUUCAUUGUUGGUCUUCUUCUAAUUUGUACCUUGUUAAUUGUUAUGUUCUGCAACCAUGCAUUCUGAAUCACAGAUGAAGCCCCACUCAAAGAACCAGCAGCAGAGGAGUUGGGCUGAAAUGUGUUGUUUGGAUUGGUCGUGCCUACAGCUCUUCUGGCCCAGAGUCGUCAUGCGCAAAUGGCUCAACAUCUCCGCCAAAGAAUCCGAUUACAGCGCCGACACCGACGCCGAUUCCGACUGUGAUGCCGACUCCGAUACCCAAGAGUUUCCUCAACGGGGAAGAGAAUCAAGGUUUAAAGACAUUAAGGAAGAUGAGUCUGAGAGUGAUGAUGCUAGUGAAGCGCUUCCAAGGGUACGAAGACGAAAGUCAGAGACGUUCAGGGCACAGUAUAUAAACACUAAGGAAUUGAGAGUAUGUGCUACAACAUGGAAUGUCGGAGGAGAAAUUCCACCUGAUGACUUGGAUAUUGAUGGUUGGCUAGAUAUUAAUGAGCCAGCUGACUUUUAUGUGAUUGGCCUUCAGGAGAUUGUACCCUUAAAUGCUGGAAAUAUCUUUGGUGCUGAAGAUAGGCGCCCAAUCACUAAGUGGGAAACAAUUAUUCGUGAAGCACUGGAUAGAGUUCGACCUGCGGCAAGUAAGGUUAAAUCCUUUAGCGAUCCUCCAUCUCCAUCAAAGUAUAAGCCAUCUGGUGAUGUCCCUGAUAUAGAAGAGGAGAUGUUACUCCAAAGUGAUAGUGAUGUUGGUGAAGAAGUGCAUCCAUUGGAUGACGAACCCAAAGAUUUUGGUGACAGCAACGAUACGUCAAUCACUAGUGAAAUAGUGAAUGUUGAUUCUCAAGUUCCAGACUUUAGUGAUAGUAGCAAGCCACGCAUGCCAAUUGGCCAGGAUUUACAAAGGCAAAGUUCUUCUCCAAAGAGAUUAGAUAGGUUAUAUUGCUUGAGGACCGAUGAUUGUUCAUUAGAUGAAGAAACUUCUAGUAUCCAACAAAAUCGAAAGUUAACCAAAAUGCUUAGUGGGUCUGAAAGGAUUGGUUUGAGCUGGCCGGAGCCUCCAUUAAACUUGCUAUCUCAGCACUUGUUAGACAGACGAAAUUCCUUUCGAACAAUGAAGUCUUUCAAGUCCUCUAAGUCUUUCAGAACCCACAAUUCUUUCAAGUCAGCUACGAAUGACGUGACACCAGAAAUAGCUCUGCUUGCAGAGAUUGAUCUUGAGUCUCUAAUGAAACGGAAAAGAAGAUCAUCAUAUGUAAGGAUUGUAAGUAAGCAGAUGGUUGGGAUUUUCCUCACUGUAUGGGUUCGUAGGAGCUUGCGUAAACAUAUUCAGAAUGUAAAGGUGUCUACUGUUGGUGUUGGUGUCAUGGGAUAUAUUGGUAACAAGGGAUCUAUAUCUGUCAGCAUGUCAGUGUAUCAGACGUUUUUUUGUUUUGUGUGCACUCACCUGACAGCAGGUGAGAAAGAUGGAGAUGAAAUAAGAAGGAAUGCUGAUGUGCAUGAAAUACAUCGAAGAACUCACUUUCAUUCAUUUUCUGAUAUUGGACUUCCCAGAAGUAUCUAUGAUCAUGAAAAAAUAAUUUGGUUGGGCGAUCUAAAUUAUCGCCUUAACUUGUCAUAUGAAAAAACACGAGAACUUAUCUCCAAAAAGGAGUGGUCCAAGUUGUUUGAGAACGACCAGCUUGCACGACAAUUUAAGAAAGGUCGUCCAUUUGAUGGAUGGUCUGAGGGUGUUCUGAAGUUUCCACCAACAUAUAAAUAUGAGGCUAAUUCAGAGAAGUACUACGGUGAUGAUCCGAAGACUGGGAGGCGGACUCCAGCAUGGUGUGACCGCAUUCUUUCUUAUGGCCAAGGAAUGAGGUUACUGAGCUAUAGAAGGGCUGAACUUAAACUUUCUGAUCAUCGACCAGUGACUGCCACAUAUAUGGCCGAGGUUGAGGUGUUCUCUUCUAGGAAGCUUCAACGGGCCCUCACAUUCACUGAUGCAGAGAUUGAAAAUGAGGAAAUCUCAAUGGAUAUGGGUGUUGAUGUUGGAAUGAACUGCUUAAAAUUGGAACAAGAUAUUUCUGAUUGGGAGCGUUGAUGGAGGCUAAUGCACUCCAGACUGAGUCAUCAAGCUUGGUGUACUAGGGUUUGGCAACCGAACCAACCCUCUCCGAGGGGGGCUUACAGACCACCAAACCUACAUUGCCAGUGUUGAGUUUUCGGCGGCCAGGUGUACCAUCAGAUAAUCUCUUUUGAGCCCCAAUCUUUUUCAUAGGACCCUAGCAAGAUUAUAUAUUUGGCUUAUUUAUGUACAUCCCCUGUGCUUUCAAACUUGUCUCAGAUUACCACCUAUGUUUGCAAACGUCUCAAAGUACCCCCCAACCUUUUAAAAACGGUCUCACGUUACCCGUUUCGUCAGUUUUUUAGACGAUCUGUUACUAGCGUAGGGCCCCACUUCGUUUUAACAUUUAUCCUCUUCAAACAAGGGCAUCUCAGUUCUAACAAAGAGGGAAAUUGGGUGAGAAGGGGAAAUUGGAGAAGAGGGCCUAGGGUUUGUGAAAAUCUGUGGUUGGCUUCGAUUUUGGGAGAAGUUGGAGAAGAAAUUAAGGGUUUAUAAAACUCUGAGGUGGAGUUUGAAAUUGGGAGAUUGUGGAGUAGAAGAUUUGGGUUGAUGGAAAGAGGAGAGAAGCAAGGCGAAGCAAGGCAUGGCCAAUGGUGUCAUUGUGGGAAGUUAGCACGGAUGCAGACUUCUUGGACCAGUUCAAACCCAGGGCAGAGAUUUCUAGUCUACCCAAAGUUAAAGGAAAGUGGAGAAAAAGGAUGUAGGUUUUUUCAGUGGUUUGAUGCAGAAAUGUAUGAGUGUUCAAAGUCUUUGAUACCUGGUUUGCUGAGGAAGAUUGAUAGGGUGGAGAAGUAAAAUGCAAAGAUUCGAGCAAAGUCAAAAAUAUUGUGGGCUGCUAUGUUGCUUUCUUGCUUAGUGGUGUUUGCCAUGAAGAUGAAUUAGGCACUUUGGCAGUAGUUCAGUGGGAACUGUAAUUUGAGAACAAAUGUUCAUGUAAUGUAAGGCACUUUGGCAGUAGUAGGCACUUUGGCAGUAGUUUAGUGGGCAAAUUUAAUUUGAGAACAAAUGCUAAUCUAAUGUAAGGCACUUUGGCAGUAGUUAUGUUAGUGUAAUGUAAUGUAAUUUGGCGUAAUGUAAUGUAAUGCUAGUUAAGUUUGUUCAUUGUAA